rnacentral:rRNA from 1 species
AGUGAACGCUGGCGGUAGGCCUAACACAUGCAAGUCGAACGGCAGCACAGUAAGAGCUUGCUCUUACGGGUGGCGAGUGGCGGACGGGUGAGGAAUACAUCGGAAUCUACUUUUUCGUGGGGGAUAACGUAGGGAAACUUACGCUAAUACCGCAUACGACCUACGGGUGAAAGCAGGGGAUCUUCGGACCUUGCGCGAUUGAAUGAGCCGAUGUCGGAUUAGCUAGUUGGCGGGGUAAAGGCCCACCAAGGCGACGAUCCGUAGCUGGUCUGAGAGGAUGAUCAGCCACACUGGAACUGAGACACGGUCCAGACUCCUACGGGAGGCAGCAGUGGGGAAUAUUGGACAAUGGGCGCAAGCCUGAUCCAGCCAUGCCGCGUGGAUGAAGAAGGCCUUCGGGUUGUAAAGCCCUUUUGUUGGGAAAGAAAAGCAGCAGGUUAAUACCCCGCUGUUCUGACGGUACCCAAAGAAUAAGCACCGGCUAACUUCGUG